ACUUCCGGCGGGCGGGCUCCGAAAGGAGAGCGUGGUGUCUGGAGGUGAUCGGAAGGGACUGGCUGGAGUGUGGCGGGCUGACAGGUCUGAGGCCUGAAGGACUUCCGGGAACCGCAAAGCACGGUGUGCCUCCGCUGUCCUGAAGAAAAAGCCGCGCGCGGACGACUGGCCGGCCCGCGCUUGCAGCUCCCAGAAGUUGACAGGCAUCCUCCGGUGACCGGUGUGAGUAUGGCAUCAGGAUGAUUUGACUGCAAGCAACAGAAAAAUCAAACAAAAAUGGCCUAAGCCAAGAAGAGAAAUGAUUAUUUCACAUUCCAAGAAGUUUGGGAGUCGAGUGGUUAAACGGCUAAUUAAUCUAGAGCUCAACAGUAUCACCCAGGACCCAUUUUCACUAUGGUGGCUAAAGCUCUGCACCCUUCAGGCUUGCACCAUGGCAGCAGCAGUGACAGUAAAGACACCCUUACACCACAAUGCUCCAUGACCAGGGAGAGGGUCUCCUCUCUCCUGCCCCUUUCUGGAGGCUCCACCGAAGAUUUCUCUUCACAUUCCGUUUCUCAUUCCUGAAGCAGUUGCUGGCAACAGGGAUGGACUUACCGCAAUGGGUACAGAGCAACUAAGAUUCACCACUAGUGAACCAUUUAGGGAUGGCCACGUGACUCAGUUCUGGUCACCAAGGUGGUGGAAGAGAAGUUCUCUUGAGGGGCAUCUGGGAAAGAUUCUUCUGCCUGAUAAAACAGGAGCCUAUUCUUGAAUUUUUAUUCUUUCAUAUGCAUUUAAGAAUCAUCUUGUCAAGUUCUUCGAAAAACCCUACUGAAAUUUUUAUUGAAAUUGUAUUGAAUUUAUAUGUGAAUUUGGGAAAAAUUGUCUUUUUUUUUUUUUUGACGGAGUCUCGCUCUGUCACCCAGGCUGGAGUGCAGUGGUACAAUCUCAGCUCACGGCAAACUCGGCCUUCUAGAUUCACGCCAUUCUCCUGCCUCAGCCUCCCAAGUAGCUGGGACUACAGGCACCCACCACCUGGCCUGGCUAAUUUUUUUUGUAUUUUUAGUAGAGACGGGGUUUCACCAUGUUAGCCAGGAUGCUCUCGAUCUCCUGACGUCGUGAUCCGCCAGCCUCGGCCUCCCAAAGUGCUGGGAUUACAGGCGUGAGCCACAGCGCCCGGCCAAUUUCACAAAUAGAUUUUUUUUCUUACUGUAAAUCUUAGCAAGCUCAGCAUACGAAUUUUUUUUUCCUUAAAUUGAAAGCUUUUACCCUUUCACUUAAAGGCAGCACUUUAUGGCUUCUCUUGGGCAUAUCCAAAUUGCUACCAUCACUACUCGUAUUAGUCCAUUUUCACGCUGCUGAUAAAGACAUACCUGAGACUGAGAAAUUUACCAAAUAAAGAGGUGUACUGGACUUACAGUUCCACAUGGCUGGGGAGGCCUCACAAUCAUGGUGGAAGGCAAGAAGGAGCAAGUCAUGUCUUACAUGGAUGGCAGCUGGCAAAGAGAAAGCUUGUACAGGGAGACUCCCGUUUUGAAAACCAUCAGAUCUUGUGAGACUCAUUCACUAUUACAAGAACAGUGCAGGAAAGAUGCACCCCUGUACUUCAAUCACCUCCCAGCAGGUUCCUCCCACGACAUGUGGGAAUUGUGGGAGUUACAAUUCAAGAUGAGAUUUGGUUGGGGACACAGCCAAACCAUAUCACUACUCUUGUGCUUUGGGGCCAUUAUGAAGUAAAACAAGCAUUAUUUGAACACAAGAACUGCAAUACCACCACAGUAGAUCUGAUAACUGUUGGCUACUAAGUGACUAAGGGGCAGGUGAAGUAUACAGCUUGGAUGCGAUGGACAAAGAGGAAGAUCUACCUCCCAGCUGGGAUGGAGCAGGACGAUGCAAGAUUUCAUCACACUACUCAGAAAGGCAUGCAGUUUAAAGCUCGUAAAUUAUUUCAGGAAUUUUCCAUUUAAUAUUUUCAGGCUGUGGCUGACCGUGAGUAACAAACCCAGGAAAGCGAAACUGCAGAACAGUGGAUGGGAGAAAGGGUGAAUUACUGUAUAUUCAUGAGGGAUAUUAGUCCAUAGUUUCUUUUUUCCCUUUUAACAAAUUUUUGGGUUUUGUAUAUAGUUUGUCUGGUUUUGGUAUCAGGGUAAUACUAGCUUCAUAAAAUGAAUUGGAAAGCGUUUCUUCUGUUUUCCUAAAAAGAUUAUAUGGAAUUAGCAUUCAUUCUUUAAACACUUGGUAGAAAUCUUAAGUAAAACCAUCUGAGCUCGGAGAUUUUUUUGUGUGUGUUAUAAAAUUACAUAUUCAGUUUCCUUAAUAUUUAUAAGAUCAUUUUAAUUAUCUGUGUUUUUCAGUGAAACGGGUCAAUUUUCUGUAUGUUGUCAAAUUAAUAUUUGUAGAAUUGUAUUAGUAUUCUUCAUUAUCCUUUUGAUGUCUGCAGAAUCUGUAAUGGUAUCCCUGUUUUAUUUCUGAUAUUAAUUUGUGCCAUUAUGUCUUUUUUUCUUUGUUGAUCUUGUCAGAAGUUUGUCAAUUUUAUCAAUUUGUUCCAAGAACCAGCUCAUUGAUUUGGUUUCAGUUUCAUUGAUUUCUACUUUUAUCUUUAUUAUUUCCUUCUUUUUCUUGCUUUUGGUAUAUUUUGUGCUUCUUUUUCUAGGUUCUAGAGGUGGAAGCAUACGUUAUUGAUUUGAGACCUUUCCUCUUUUCUAAUGUGAGCAUUUUAGUUACAUUUAGUUCCCUCCUAGGACUACUUUAAUUGGAUUAUUGAGAGGUGUUGAAGUCUCCAACUGUAUUUGUGGAUUUAUUUAUUUUUCCUUUCAGUUCUAUUAGUUUUAGCUUCACAUUAUUUUGCAGCUCUGAUGUUUAAAGGUGCAUGAACAUUUAGGCUCACUAUGUCUCAGUGAAUUGACCCUUUUAUCAUUACGUAAUAUUCCUCUCAGUCUCUGGUCAUUUUCUUUGUGC
ensembl:lncRNA COX10-DT COX10 divergent transcript